GUACUAUUCCCUCCGUCCGGAAUUACUUGUCAUCAAAAUGGAUGUGUCUAGAACUAAAAUACAUCUAGAUACAUCCAUUUUAAUGACAAGUGUUUUCGGACGGAGGGAGUAUUCC
rnacentral:pre_miRNA from 1 species